CGACGAGUGGCGAACGGGUGAGUAAUACUUAGGAAUCUGCCCAGUAGUGGGGGACAACUCGGGGAAACUCGAGCUAAUACCGCAUACGCCCUAAGGGGGAAAGCGGGGGAUCUUCGGACCUCGCGCUAUUGGAUGAGCCUAAGUCGGAUUAGCUUGUAGGUAGGGUAACGGCCUACCUAGGCGACGAUCCGUAGCUGGUCUGAGAGGACGAUCAGCCACACUGGGACUGAGACACGGCCCAG
rnacentral:rRNA from 1 species